rnacentral:rRNA from 1 species
UACGUAGGUGGCAAGCGUUGUCCGGAUUUACUGGGCGUAAAGAGCGCGCAGGCGGUCGAAUCAGUCGAAUGUGAAAGCCCCCGGCUCAACUGGGGAGGGUCAUUCGAUACUGUUCGACUUGAAGGCAGGAGAGGGAAGCGGAAUUCCCGGUGUAGUGGUGAAAUGCGUAGAUAUCGGGAGGAACACCAGUGGCGAAGGCGGCUUUCUGGCCUGUUCUUGACGCUGAGGCGCGAAAGCUAGGGGAGCGAACGGG